rnacentral:rRNA from 2 species
AAAUUGAAGAGUUUGAUCAUGGCUCAGAUUGAACGCUGGCGGCAGGCCUAACACAUGCAAGUCGAACGGUAACAGGAAGCAGCUUGCUGCUUCGCUGAUGAGUGGCGGACGGGUGAGUAAUGUCUGGGAAACUGCCUGAUGGAGGGGGAUAACUACUGGAAACGGUGGCUAAUACCGCAUAACGUCGCAAGACCAAAGAGGGGGACCUUCGGGCCUCUUGCCAUCAGAUGUGCCCAGAUGGGAUUAGCU